rnacentral:rRNA from 1 species
CCUACGGGGGGCAGCAGUGAGGAAUAUUGGUCAAUGGGCGUAAGCCUGAAUCAGCCAAGUCGCGUGAGGGAUGAAGGUUCUAUGGAUCGUAAACCUCUUUUAUAAGGGAAUAAAGUGUGGGACGUGUCCUAUUUUGUAUGUACCUUAUGAAUAAGGAUCGGCUAACUCCGUGCCAGCAGCCGCGGUAAUACGGAGGAUCCGAGCGUUAUCCGGAUUUAUUGGGUGUAAGGGGUGCGUAGGCGGCCUUGUAAGUCAGCGGUGAAAGUCUGUGGCUCAACCAUAGAAUUGCCGUUGAAACUGGGUGGCUUGAGUAUGUUUGAGGCAGGCGGAAUGCGUGGUGUAGCGGUGAAAUGCGUAGAUAUUACGAGGAACCCCGAUUGCGAAGGCAGCCUGCCAAGCCAUGACUGACGCUGAUGCACGAAAGCGUGGGGAUCAAACAGGAUUAGAUACCCGUGUAGUC